rnacentral:rRNA from 1 species
AUACGUAGGUGACAAGCGUUAUCCGGAUUUACUGGGCGUAAAGGGCGUGUAGGCGGUCUUGCAAGUCAGAAGUGAAAUUCCUGAGCUCAACUCGGGCGCUGCUUCUGAAACUGCAGGACUUGAGUGCUGGAGGGGAUAGCGGAAUUCCUAGUGGAGCGGUAAAAUGCGCAGAUAUUAGGAAGAACACCGGGGGCGAAGGCGGCUAUCUGGACAGUAACGGACGCUGAGGCGCGAAAGCGUGGGGAGCAAACAGGAUUAGAUGCCCGGGUAGUCCACGCCGUAAACGAUGAAUACUAGGUGUAGGGGGUAUCGACUCCCUCUGUGCCGCAGUUAACACAAUAAGUAUUCCGCCUGGGGAGUUCGGCCGCAAGGUUGAAACUCAAAGGAAUUGACGGGG